CACAUCAUAUGUCCACACCUCUGCCACUUCCUCUGCUUAAUCACUUCACACUACUUCUACCCUUUAUCAGUGGUUUCACAAAAGUCUCAUAAACAAACUCGAUGAUUCAUACGAAGUACGAAAUACAUAUAUCCGUUUCGAUUAAUACCUACGUACUUUGACAUCCGACAAAAUGAUUAAGUACUCGGCCAAUAAUUUAUGAUUCUCAGCUCUCUCUCACCAAGAUAAAUAUUAUAUACGUUUUUUAAAUGUAAAAGUAAUAGUGAUACGAGCAAUAUAUUGUUUACAAUUUGGCAGAAUAAGAGCCAUGGGUGAGCUUAAAAAUCUGUUUGGUUUUAGGUGUAAACUUUGACACUCGAUUGUUACAUUUCUUCCAAAUAUACGUGGUUUACCUUACAUAUAUAUAAAUAUCUUGUCAACCGCUAGACUUAAAAUCUAAUAAUGAUUAACAUUUUCGCUAAAUACAGUCAUACGUAUGUGGAGAUAGGCGUUAUCAUUUCCCCGAAGUGCUUUACGGACGUGGUGAUACGUUAUCAAUACGAUGAUAAAUAAAGAAAAUCGAUAUCCUGGCUAUCAUUCAGCAACAAAACCCGAAGCACUCCAUCGUUCCCGUGAAUUUCUUUAUUUGUGAUUAAUCAGCAAUUUAAAGCAAUGCCGCCGCCUCACGCAAUGCCGUGUGGGCCGCAUUGCGGUACUUACUGCGCGCCGCACUGCUAUCACCGCCGACCGCCGCCGCCGCCGCCGUUCCACCACCAUCCGCCGCCACCGCAUCAUCACCAUCCACCGCCGCCACCUCAUCACCACCCGCCACCACCCCCGCAUCAUCACCACCCACCGCCGCCACCGUUCCACCACCCACCGCACCACCACGGGCCACCGCCUCACUGGCGAUAGACUGUUUCGAAAAGAUCUUCAAGCUGUGAUAAAUGAUAAUGUUGAAUCAAUCAUUAAUUUCGAAGAUCUGGUUGUAGCGUGAUUUUAAACCGUUUUAUCGUGCUUCUUGAACAUUGAACGGAUUUUAUUACUGUGUUUGCAAUGUUUUAUUAUUUGUUGUAUUAAAGGAUUUUUUGUUUUCAGAACAA